rnacentral:rRNA from 1 species
AGUGGGGAAUAAUGUUUGGAAACGGACACUAAUACCGCAUAACAUAUAAUUAUCGCAUGAUAAAUAUAUCAAAGGAUUAAUUCGCUUAUGGAUGGACUCGCGUCCGAUUAGAUAGUUGGUGAGGUAACGGCCCACCAAGUCGACGAUCGGUAGCCGGACUGAGAGGUCGAUCGGCCACAUUGGGACUGAGACACGGCCCAGACUCCUACGGGAGGCAGCAGUGGGGGAUAUUGCACAAUGGGCGAAAGCCUGAUGCAGCAACGCCGCGUGAGGGAAGACGGUUUUCGGAUUGUAAACCUCUUUUCUUAGUGAAGAAACAAAUGACGGUAGCUAAGGAAUAAGCAUCGGCUAACUACGUGCCAGCAGCCGCGGUAAUACGUAGGAUGCAAGCGUUGUCCGGAAUUACUGGGUGUAAAGGGAGCGCAGGCGGGUAUUUAAGUCAGCUGUGAAAACCAAGGGCUCAACCUUUGAAUUGCAGUUGAAACUGAGUAUCUUGAGUGGAGUAGAGGUAAGCGGAAUUCCGAGUGUAGCGGUGAAAUGCGUAGAUAUUCGGAGGAACACCGGUGGCGAAGGCGGCUUACUGGGCUCUAACUGACGCUGAGGCUCGAAAGUGUGGGUAGCAAACAGGAUUAGAUACCCUGGUAGUCCACACUGUAAACGAUGAUUGCUAGGUGUGGGGAGUAACAAUCUUUCCGUGCCGGAGUUAACGCAAUAAGCAAUCCACCUGGGGAGUACGGUCGCAAGACUGAAACUCAAAGGAAUUGACGGGGGCCCGCACAAGCAGUGGAUUAUGUGGUUUAAUUCGAAGCUACGCGAAAAACCUUACCAGGUCUUGACAUCAAGUGACAGACAAAGAGAUUUGUUUUUCCUUCGGGACACGAAGACAGGUGGUGCAUGGUUGUCGUCAGCUCGUGUCGUGAGAUGUUGGGUUAAGUCCCGCAACGAGCGCAACCCUUGCCAUUAGUUGCUACGAAAGAGCACUCUAAUGGGACCGCUACCGACAAGGUGGAGGAAGGUGGGGACGACGUCAAAUCAUCAUGCCCCUUAUGACCUGGGCUACACACGUAAU